UUGCCAUGGGCGAAGCCUGAUGCAGCGACGCCGCGUGAGGGAUGACGGCCUUCGGGUUGUAAACCUCUUUCAGCAGGGACGAAGCGCAAGUGACGGUACCUGCAGAAGAAGCACCGGCUAACUACGUUGCCAGCAGCCGCGGUAAUA
rnacentral:rRNA from 1 species